GGCCGCAAGGUUAAAACUCAAAUGAAUUGACGGGGGCCCGCACAAGCGGUGGAGCAUGUGGUUUAAUUCGAUGCAACGCGAAGAACCUUACCUACUCUUGACAUCCAGAGAAUUUAGCAGAGAUGCUUAAGUGCCUUCGGGAGCUCUGAGACAGGUGCUGCAUGGCUGUCGUCAGCUCGUGUUGUGAAAUGUUGGGUUAAGUCCCGCAACGAGCGCAACCCUUAUCCUUUGUUGCCAGCGAUUCGGUCGGGAACUCAAAGGAGACUGCCG
rnacentral:rRNA from 1 species